rnacentral:rRNA from 1 species
ACGGAAGGCAGCAGUGGGGAAUAUUGGGCAAUGGGCGAAAGCCUGACCCAGCAACGCCGCGUGAAGGAAGAAGGUUUUCGGAUUGUAAACUUCUUUUAUCAGGGACGAAGAAAGUGACGGUACCUGAUGAAUAAGCCACGGCUAACUACGUGCCAGCAGCCGCGGUAAUACGUAGGGGGCAAGCGUUAUCCGGAUUUACUGGGUGUAAAGGGAGCGUAGACGGCUUUGCAAGUCUGAUGUGAAAGCCCGGGGCUCAACCCCGGCACUGCAUUGGAAACUGUAGAGCUAGAGUGCAGGAGAGGUAAGUGGAAUUCCUAGUGUAGCGGUGAAAUGCGUAGAUAUUAGGAGGAACACCAGUGGCGAAGGCGGCUUACUGGACAGUAACUGACGCUGAGGCGCGAAAGCACGGGGAGCAAACAGGAUUAGAUACCCUGGUA